CAAAGGGUGGUCUAAUUAGGACGCUAGCCUUGGGCGUUAGUAGUAAGAGUUGAAGUCUCUUCUUUUUGG
rnacentral:tRNA from 1 species